UUUUUUUUUUUUUUUUUUUUUUUUAAGCAGGAAGGAUCAGAGAGAACAAAGAAUAACCUUCAGUCGAUGGGUCAUUGAUGGAUGUCCUGGCCAUCUGAGAAAGGCCCGGAGCGCCUUGGGUCCUGGGAAGUCAGCCAGGAACCGGCCGACAAGGAGGGCUCUGCAGGCUAGAGGCUCAGACAGGAGACUCCCUGCAGCAAAGGCUGGGUUGGCGGCAUUAAAGAAAGGCUGCAAGAUUCAUUUAUUUAAUCAGUGAGCUCCCAGAUGAUGCUUGGAGUUUGAUAUGGAUCAUUCCAGCCUCUCUCAAAUCGAUCAACAAGUAUUGAUUGAGUGCCUACUGUUUGCUGGGCUUGACGCUAGGCAUUUUGGGAAAUGCAGAAUGAGUACCAAACAAGGUCUCUGUCAAUUAGCGCUACGAGCCCAUGUGUAACAAAGUGGGAACCACCUGAGUGUGACAACACAAGGUACUGAAAUGCAGGGGACAGGGCACACUGAGAUCAGGGAGGUCAGGAGGACUUGAAAUAGAGGUAAAUUUGAGUUAGAGUCAAGGUUGGGGAAUGUCACUGAUUGAGGGAAUAUGAAUAUGUAUUAGGGGCACUGGCUUACAGUAACAAAACACUUGGACUUAGUGCCUUAACACAGUGGGAGUUUACUUCUUGCUCACAUUAAAGCCAUUGGGCAGCAGGAGUGGGGGUGGGACUCUUUUCCAUACAGUCAUUCAGGGCCCCAGGCUCUCAGGGUUCCAUUGUCUCUAAUACAUGCCUUUCAGGGCUAGUCAGGGCUCCAUCACCCACCCAGCAACCCAGGAAAAGGUGGGCAAGGAUCCCAUGGAAGUUUACACAGUCCAGGCCCCAUCACUUCUCCCACGUCCCACUGGCCUAAUGUCAGUUCACCACCCCUCAGAGAUGGAAAGGGGAUGAGACCUAUGAUAUCUAUCUGGUGGGUCAGCCAAUUUUCAGCAAUAGCUCUCUGAAAGGGGAACACAAAAUGUUAAUGGAAAGUUAGCCACAGAGGACAAAGGUCAGAGGCUGACCCAUAACAGCAGCAUGUGAAACUCAGGAAAAUUUCUAUCUUCUGUCUGUCUGUCUGUCUGUCUAUCUAUCUAUCUAUCUAUCAUCUAUUUAUCUAUCAUAAAAGCUGACACACAUACAAUAAGCUGAGCACUCUGCAGAGUUUUGCAUGCAUUGGUUCCUUUAAUCCUCCCAGCAACCCUAUCAUCAUCAUAGAUUUUACCAUGUUUUGAGAUGUGGAGCACUGCCCAAAGUCACAACAGUUAUAAGUAGAAGAGAAAGAUGUAAACCCAGUCACAUUUGACUCUUGACUCUGUGCUUUCAGCCAUCAUGCUGAUGCUUCCUGAGAGUUCUUUGGUCAAAUCAGUUUGGGAAUUGCUGGGUCAAAGUUAAACUGGUUUGUUGCUACGAAACUUCUCAGAGCCCUGUCUCACAAUUGCGAUAUGCGUGGAGGGUCACAAUGGUGAGGAGCAGGAAUCCGGAGGCAAGAACCCCAGCUUUGUCCCUUACUGGCUGUGUGACCUUGGGCACAUCCCUUAACCUCUCUGUAACUCAUCUGUAAGAUAGGAAUAACAAUAGCACCUGCUUCACAAGGACUGAAUGAGUUAAUACGUUUUAAUACCAAAACCAAGCCCAGUAUAAGUGUUGGCUACCGCUAGAAUGGGCUGUGCUGUCCACUGCAUUGGUCCUGAGCCCUAUUUUCAUGGAGUGUCUCUCGGGACUGUGGCACAAUCUAGACCAUCCUUUUCCCUUAAUGAUGAGGCAAGUGAGGCGACAGGACUGGCUCAAAGUUCCCGAAGCCAGUCCUGGGCUCAAAGCCCAGUCCUAGCUCCACAGAGCUACUCUGCUUCUCUCAGGGGCAGAUUCAGACACUUCAGACACUUCAGAACUACAGGACUCAUCCAAUGCCCAAGGCAGGGACUCAUUUUCACUCAGAACAAAAGAGGACUGGACUAAGUUUUCUGCAGCAGCAGCCUGGGCUCUAGAGAGUCAUCGCUCUUGCAGCCCCACUGCUCCAGCUUUUGAGCAGCCUCAGGCAGAAUGACAGUGCCUGCCAGGAGCGCAGAGCACCGGCAGCCAGCAGCACCCACAUCCCAUGCCGACAUCCUAUGCUGGCCCCUGUCCUAGCACUGCCCAGAGCUCGCCUGGGAGCUGGAAAGGAGGCUGGGGAGAAGCAAUCCCUCCUGGACUCUCAGAGAGAAGCAGUUUAGAAAAUAGAAAGGAUUAAAUGUGACAAUGACCAUAAAUAGCAAGUAAAAUCAGACAGGGGUUAGGAUGAAAAUCACCCAAUUACGAUGAUGCCCCUUCUGCUUGUGUCAUUUCUUUGUGCAUCUUUGUGUGUGUCUCUCUGCUCUGGUCUGGCAAGACUUCCGAGUGGCUGGGGUGUGUGUGUGUGUGUGUGUGUGUGUGUGUAGAGAGAUUCAGAGGAUCGAGGAAGCAGAAAGGAGGGUGGGAGGGAGAGCCACAGAGAAAUCUAUGGGCUUCAGGGCCCCUCCUAUGGUCCUUCCUCAAGCCAAAGCCUUGUUUCAUCUGCCCCCCGUUGCUGAGUCAUGCCUGCCUGGGUCCCAAUACCCAACCUGCUUGAAGAGAGCUGAACAUAAGAGUGCUCAGAACUUCAGGGUCCCCUUUAUUGCGCUCUGGAUACCUUGUACCUUCAAUCCUAGGUUACUAAUGACUAUGACUCAUCAGGAGCUGAGUACACUGAGCAAUUUCCUGGACCAAACAUUCCAGUGUGCCCCCUUUCCUCUUAAAGAGGAUUCCAUGGGCCUGCUGUCCACCAAAUGGCCUUGAGCAGGGUCUGUAGGCAUUGGCUUGGUUAAGGGAUGAGAGUUAAUGGACCUCACAGGUAAAGUCUACGGGUCCCUUCAGCUACUCUUGCCCACCUUCAGGGGGCACACACGUUGAGAGGGGUCUGUGAGCCGCAGAGAAGGAAAUCUCUCUCGCAAGUCUGUCAACCAAAUAAUCACAGCCCAUGGCAACUCAGCGUUUGCAUGAGAUGCUCCAUAAAUACAAACUGACACAAUUUACUAAGCAUUUUCUGGCUCCUUCUCUUGAAUCCAAGUAGGGUAGUAUUUUUUAUAUACCAAACAAAAAAGUAAACUAAACACAGACAGCCUAUUUAUUGUUUUCAGUAUACUCAGGAGUUUUUGACUGAAUUCACCAGUUUUACUAUUAUCUCUCCUUUUAUUAUAUUAUGCAGUGUGUAGAUUCAGGCAGAGUAUGAAUAUCGCAUAGGGAAAAGAAAGAUGAAAAAUGGUAAGAACCACUCAGCUUGCCCAAAGCAACUUUCAUGCCUGUUAAAUCCCCUUAUUACUCAUCUCUCCCAAGAAAUAUUCUAGGAUCCACAGCAUCUAUUGAUGGUCUCAGCUGAGACUGCUGAGUAUCAUUUAUUCAACAAGCAUGUAUUGAGUGCUUACUACAUGCUAGACACAAUGUGAGGCACAAGGGACCCAGCUAUAGACAGGAAGUACACGGCUUUGCCUUCUGGAGUUCCCCCUAAGGGGCUUGGGAGCUGAGAUCCUAAGACGGAACCCCCUUGUUAGACAGGAUCCAGAGAGGAAAACACAUUUGCCCAAAGCCAUCUUGCACGUGAGUGCAGCAACCAAGGAAGUCUAGGUUUGAUAGCCCUAGGCUAGGUUUGGCCCCCAAUAUCCCCAUUCCCCCCAAUGGAAGAAAGUAACCUCAGUCAGCUCCCCAGUGCCAGGGUCAAUGGCUGGUCAAAGGACCCUGACAAUGAAGGGCCAGGGGAAAGUCACAUUUGAAACCAUGUUGCUGACAUGGCUUCUGCCCUCUCUUUGCUAUGUGCACAUGCAAAGCAGGUCAGUUUCCAAAAGGCAGCCACCCAGACCGCUAAUUAUCACUAAUUACACAUAGAUAUUUAAAAGAGAAAAAGCCCUCAAAAUAUUUAUAGAAAGAAUUGCAUAAGAAAAAAUUCUCUUUUGAGACCAAGAGACUGGCUCUCUUUCGGUCUUGCUCAAGGAGUUUACAGGUGGAAGAAGAAGUGAAUUGCCCUGAGGUGGACAUCCCAGUGGACCUGAGCACAGAAGUCACUCCUUUCUAAUCCCUAGGCCCCCAGGCCAUUGGUCUCACCCCCUCACAUAGCCACUCCGAUCAGGAAAAUAAAGAGCCAGAGGUUUCCUCAAGGAAAGGACAAAUAAUGACAUUAGCUAAUACUUUCUAGCACCUUCUGUAUGCCUGUAGUUUCAUUAUGUUCAACAUGACAUUAAGUCCCCAUUACAGCCUGGGAGGUGGGUGUUACUUCCACCCAUCUCACAAAGGAGGAAACUGUAACUGGGAUAUUCCUCCCACUUACUCAGCCAGUACAUAGCAGGACUUGGCUCCAAACCUGAGUCCAUCUGACUCUAACGACCAUCCUUUGUUCACCACACGGCAAGAAAAACGGAGACGCUUUCCUGGGAAGAGAUGACAGGAACAAGAAAGAGCACAAUUAAAGUGAGGGGGAAGGGAGAAGGCUCAGGUGGUGAAUGGACAAAUGUUUAAUAAGCACAUGCUACACACAGCAUUCUGCCAGGCGUCUGCUGGGAGGACACCAAGGAAACCGGUCCCUCCUUCCAUCCCCCACCUGGCGAGGCUCCAGCAUUUACCUACUGGUCAAGCCAGGAACUGGGCAGCACCUGCAACUACUCUUGGUCCCUCACCGUAAUUUUCACUGUCUUCAUCCUUCUGCAUACCAUCUGUUUACUCUGCUCAUUUGUAAAAUAGGGGUAGUCAGGUGCCUACUUCAUUAAUGCAGAAGUCAGAUAAAGUCAUUAGUGCAGCCCAAGGCGCACAGCAAGUUCUCAGCAAUAGAACACAGCCAGAACAGUCACAGUAAGUUCUCAGCUCGAUAAUGUUAGCUGUCAUCAUCGUGCUUUCUUUCCCAGGACAUUGAAAUGAUGGUGAAACUGACACCUGAGUCCUCAGAGAACAAGACCAAAUACAGGGAACGCUAGGGGUAGGUUUGUAGCCAACUGGUCUACUCUCUUUUGCUAAAUACACCUUGUGGUAUCAGGUCUUUGCAUUUUUCCCAUGUAGGAUCCCAUUUUCCUCUCCCCUAUUUAGAGUUUAUAAUAUCUUUAAGACCUAAAUGAAAAACAAGCAUUCUAGGAAUGGGCUCCCUGAUAAAGUAUCUUCUAAAGAUGACAGAAAUAUAAUGUGAGCACAUAUCUAAAGUUUUUUGAUGAAGCCACAUUUCAAAGGAUAAUGAUUAUUAUAAUUUUAAAAUUUUACUUCAUGCAAUAUAUCCAAAAUAUUAUCAUUUCAUUGUCUACACAAUAUUAAAAUUACUAAUGAGGGAUUUUACACUCUUUCGUUUGUAAUAUUACUGGCCUUACUAUAGCAUCACAAGCCUUAAAUACCUGUUGGCUAUUUUACACUCAAGGCACAUCUCAACUGGGACUAGCCACGUUUCCAAUGCUAACAGCCACGUAUAGCUAGAGGCUACCAUUUUGGACACUGCACCUUUAGAGAAAGCUGAGACUGUUCCUUUAAAGACCAAAACAUUGCCUGCAUUAAUUGGGGAUGUAUGUGUGUGGAUCACUAGAGUAGCAGGUGGUCUGGCUGGUCUCUCUGCCCCCAGGGAUUGUGUGAAGAAGGAGCCUGUUUCUAACCAAAGCAAAUCACACAACCCAUCUAAGGCCCUGCUGAUAAUACAUUCAUAGAGUUUCACACCCCAGCACACAAACAGGCUCUGGCUAAAUAGGCUUUUAAAAAAAAUACCUUCAGAUAUGUAACUACCCUUACCCCAAACCAGCUUCAAAGAGACAAUCCCUCUGCAUCCCAAUACCGCCUUGUAAAUGAGCAUUCCAAUCUCUCACUUUCUCUAGCUCUCUGGCAAAGACACAGUUCUGAAUAAUUUAUUCAUUUUUAUAGGUUUCCUGAGCACCCACUGUAUGCUGGGCAUCACACU
rnacentral:lncRNA from 1 species